rnacentral:rRNA from 1 species
CAGGUGGUGGCAUGGUUGUCGUCAGCUCGUGUCGUGAGAUGUUGGGUUAAGUCCCGCAACGAGCGCAACCCUCGACCUUAGUUGCCAGCAUUCAGUUGGGCACUCUAAGGUGACUGCCGGCUAAAAGUCGGAGGAAGGUGGGGAUGACGUCAAAUCAUCAUGCCCCUUAUGACCUGGGCUACACACGUGCUACAAUGGGCGGUACAAAGGGUCGCGAACCCGCGAGGGGGAGCCAAUCCCAAAAAGCCGCUCUCAGUUCGGAUUGCAGGCUGCAACUCGCCUGCAUGAAGCCGGAAUCGCUAGUAAUCGCGGAUCAGCAUGCCGCGGUGAAUACGUUCCCGGGCCUU